ensembl:lncRNA
CAGAAAGCCAGGCGCAUGCACGCGGCGCGCUGCCGCUUCAAGGCGCGGGCGCGAGAGAGAGAGAGAGAGAGAGAGCGCGAGAGCGUGAGUGCGUAUGUGUCACACAUCGCUGAGAAAAGCUUCCGCGUGCCGUCGGUUCGACCUGCUGCAGGAACACAACGCUGAACUUUACUACUGGAAAAUCAGCACCUAUUCCUACAAGGUCAGUAGAUGUUCUAACUUUAUUAUUAUUAUUUAAAUAUGUUUUUGAGUUUUAUUCCCGGUUUUAGUAGUUUUAUUGUGGCAUGUCCAAUAAUGCACGCGCUGAUGGAUGAGCUGUUUGGCGCGCGAGUUGUAAAAGGUGCACAGGAUGAUGCACAGGUAUACUGUGUGGAUAUUUAUGAUCAAAACAAGUUUAACAAAAACAAACAAACAAAAUCCUCUGCCCCUCGUGCACUUGCGGUAGUACUAAUAAUACAGACAGCUCAGUGUUUUAAUAUUAGAGUCUCAUCUCUUAAAAAAGGUGUCUCACCUGUGCUGGGUUUGGUUUCCGGGAAGCGCGUGCGCUGGGAAUUCACGGUUCUUCCCUCAUCAUUGCAUCCUCUUACAGACUAAAAGGCACCCCAUAUCAUUCAGAGUGCACAUGCACGGUGUAAUGCACAUGAUGGAAGGGCAUGGAGUGUCAUUCUGCAGGAGUGUAGCUGUACAUUCACAGAGGAACUUCACUUAAACGUGGAGUUUUCGGUUGAACCUGGAUUACACAAAGUUUCUGGAGAAGGAGGUCGUUUCAGGAGGAGCGCAUGAUCAUAGCUGGGUUUUUUUCUUCUUCCAGGAGAAAGUAGCUAAUGCUUGCUCGAUAAGGUCCCUAGAAGUCCCCAUAUGACACCCUAGACUAAUCUGCGUAUUUAUUCAGUGGCAUAGGAACGUGUUGGAACAUGAAGAUUUUCUGCAAACACUCAGAAUAGAAAUGAGUUAUACCAAAGUACAAGGUAUUAGAUCAUGGGAUCUGGUUUAUAAAAAGAAGGCGUCUUUGGUCAUGGCACCGCAAAAUAUAAUCUCUAGGACGCAGACUGAACGAGGCAGUGGUAGUGAGGUAUCUGGAAAUAGGUAUGAAGGGGAAUCUGUUAAUGUAAUUUUAUUACUGUAAAUAUUGCCAAUAAAUGAUUUUCAGAUGAAGAACAGAAACAUGCUGGUGGGACAAACAGUGGUGAUGAGUGAUUAAUCACUGGUCACCAUUCUUUCUAUUGACCAGUCAUUGGGAACAGUGAGGGUCGGUGAUCAGUCGUGGGGAACGGUGAGGGUCGGUGAUCAGUCGUGGGGAACAGUGAGGGUCGGUGAUCAGUCGUGGGGAACAGUGAGGGUCGGUGAUCAGUCGUGGGGAACGAUGGGGUCGGUGAUCAGUCAUUGGAACAGUGAGGGUCGGUGGUCAGUCGUGGGGAACAAUGGGGUCGGUGAUUUAAUUUUUGAGAACAAUAGUGACCUGUGAUCAGUCAUUAGGAACAAUGGAAAUUGGUAGAUAGCCAGGGGGUACAAUGGUGAUCAGUGAUUAGUCACUGGAAACAAUGGUCACCAGUGAUUAAUUGUUGAGAACAAUGGUUUCAACAAUGAUCAGUCAUUGAAAACAGUAGUGAUCAGUGAUUAUUCAAUACCAAAGAAUGGUGAUCAGAGAGUAAUUGUUUGGCAGGGUGUACCCCGCCUUGUGCCCCAUGCUCCCUGGGAUAGGCUCCAGGUUUCCUGCGACCCUGUAGGAUAAGCGGUAUAGAAAAUGGAUGGAUGGAUGGAUUAGUUGUCGGGAACAGUGGUGAUCAGUGAUUGAUCCAUGGAAAUGUUGACUCGCACAAAUGCACGAAUUAUAGCGACAGUCACUAAGCUGCAAACUCUGAGCAUGAUGACGAGAACCCAAAUGUCAUAGCCUAAAUCAAAAUCCCUCCGAAAGCUUGAGCAAGUGAACCAGAUAUUAAAAUGAAAAUGUGUUUGUCUAUAUAAAGGUUAUAAAGGUUGCAUUUGCACACUGACACAUUGAGGCUACCGCUGCUCCACUUACCUUUUCCCACAAGGAGAAGUAAAAUACCACGCUUUAUUGAACUGGAUUUUUAUAUGGUAGUGGAAUCGAGUGUUAUGGGACAUCAGUGAAUAAAGGGACACAUAAAUUCGAUACACGCUGAAUGGCCAAGCCCACGGUAUCCCAUCUGGAAACAACAUGCUUCAUAAAUCUUUUUUAUCUUUGUUUUCUUAAAUUGUGUGCAAUUGUUUGGGUGUUUUUCUCUCGCUUGGUGAUGUUUUUAUAUUUUCCAGUUGUUUUACUGGAUUGGGCAACAACAGCAUGGAGAAAAUUGAGUGAGUCUGAGAAAGGUGUGUGUGUGUGUGUGUGUGUGUGUGUGUGUGUGUGUGUGUGUGGUGUGUGAGAGGUUGGAUAUCUUUCACAGCACUUUUGUUUGGAAUUUGAUUCCUCUUUAAAGAACCACUUGUAGAGUCAGCACUUGUGUUAUUGUCUAGUCAGUGCAGAGGAAAAACAGGAACAUCAAUCAGCAUUUUAUAUUAAACUUAAAAAGUACUGAAAUUUCUGAAAACACAUUUAAAUGCAGAGAAUUGACAAGUACACAAAUUAUAGCUUUAUGACUGCAUGCUGGUGCAUCACAAGUGUAACUUGUUUGUUUUUUUUAUUGGUUUUUGUGUGAAUGCCUCUUUGUUUCUUUUUUUAUUUUAUUUUAUUUUUUUAGAAAAAUUGUAAUAACUGGACUUCAAAUAUAUUUAGCCAGCAAUGUAUCUUUUAUUCAACUAAACAUGCUUCCUCAGAGUCACUGACCUUCACAAUGACCUUGACUCUCCUCCUCAUCGACGCUGCGUUUAACACACUCCUUGCUGCCUACUGCUGAUGUGAAAACACACUCCCGACGUUUCAGUUUUGAAACCUCAGAGCCAGCCACGGUUCACACAGAUACAUACAGACUGAGUGAGAGAGAGAGAGUUACUAAAACUGAGAGAGGCACACAGACACGCAUGCUCAUGGACUGAGAGAGAGACACGCCUGCACACGGACUGAGAGAGAGACACGCCUGCACACGGACGGAGAGAGAGAGAGACACGCCUGCACACGGACGGAGAGAGAGA